AUUGAACGCUGGCGGCAUGCCUAACACAUGCAAGUCGAACGAGUGGCGGACGGGUGAGUAAUGUCUGGGAAACUGCCUGCUGGCGGGGGAUAACUACUGGACACGGUAGCUAAUACCGCAUACCAUCAGAUGUUCCCAGAUGGGCGGAGCUUGUUGGUGGGGUAACGGUUCACAAAGGCGACGAUCCCUAGCUGGUAUGAGAGGAUGCCCAGCCACACUUGAAUGGAGAGACGGGCAAGACUCCCACGGGAGGCAGGAGGGGGGAAUAUUGCAAAAUGGGCGCAAGCCUGAUGCAGCCAUGCCGAGUGUAUGAAGAAGGCGUUCAGGUUGUAAAGUACUUUCAGCGGGGAGGCGUUACCAGAAGAAGAAGCACCGGCUAACUCCGUGCCAGCAGACGCGGUAAUAC
rnacentral:rRNA from 1 species